rnacentral:misc_RNA from 1 species
GAAUUGCGAAAAGUAAUGUGAAUUGCAGAAUUCCGUGAAUCAUCGAAUCUUUGAACGCAUAUUGCGCUCUCUGGCCCUCCAGAGAGCAUGCCUGUUUGAGCAUCAGUAACACCCUCACACCCCCUUGAGGCGGUGUGGUAUUGAACGUUCCAGUGUGCUCUAUAGCAAACACUGGUCGUUUGAAAUGUAGCGUGUGCUGUGUUUGUCACUGCUCUCGGCUAGGCGUACCAGUUCUCUUAGGGGAUCCACUAGCGCCGGUGCAUGCCUUGAGCCUCGUGCUGACUAACAGUCGCGUACAAUCGUACAGGACUCUCGGGUUCUACACACAUUUCCAAGCUGCGGCGCAGUAUGCAUCGCAACUUGAUCUUGAUCUCAAAUCAGGCAAGACUACCCGCUGAAU